CUUGGCUCUUACAUCCUCCUCUGGACCUGAGCCCUAGGACCAUGCCUCAGGACUACCUGACAUGAUGACUCCUUGCUGUCCCCAGUCCACCUGGCCGUGCUGCUGCUCCAGUUUCAACUGUUCUGCCUGUGAUUAUUAUUAUUUGAUCAUGCUGGUCAUUUAUGAACAUUUGAACAUCUUGGCCAUGUUCUGUUAUAAUCUCCACCCGGCACAGCCAAAAGAGGACUGGUCACCCCACAUAGCCUGGUACCUCUCUAGGUUUCUUCCUAGGUUUUGGCCUUUCUAGGGAGUUUUUCCUAGCCACCGUGCUUCUACACCUGCAUUGCUUGGUGUUUGGUGUUUUAGGCUGGGUUUCUGUACAGCACUUUGAGAUAUCAGCUGACGUACGAAAGGCUAUAUAAAUACAUUUGAUUUUGAUUUGAUUUGAAAUAUGCAUGAUAAAAUCCAUAAAAUAUGAUUCCAGAUACAACAGUGCAGCAUGAUGCUAUUACGUUAAGUGAACCGGUAAAGCCAGAAAGACACAUGCUAAGCUCGUGAACCUACCCCAUAUUGAAUGAUGAUAAUCAAUAAAGUCUUGGCAGAUCGCUAUUAUACUGAAUGUCCAAACAUAACAAACCAUUGUCCUGUGAUGUCAGUCUUUAUUUUCUCUCGUGAGUCAUUUAAGUGUAAACAUCCAUGAGGGUAUUGGUGUCCUUGUGGGAUAGUAUACAUAUAUAGAUAGUAAAUAUAGAUAUAAUAUUAUUUCACACAAACACAAAGUAUACCUUUAAAUCAUAUAUGUGUUAAAAAUGUGGAAAUUGUCUUAAAUACCAAUUUGUGAGUAAUAUUCCAUGAACCUCCUUGAUGUAUGUGUGUUCACUCAAGUCCUGUGUUGAUAGGAAACAGAUUGGAGCAUCAUAAAUGGACAAUCUAAGAAAUGAGCCCAAUUAGUUUUCAACAAUUGUUUCCAGAAGUAUAAGAGGUCUUUGUUUCAUUUUUAAUAUUUCAAUGUUCAUGAGAAAGGAGCCUAUUUGUGAGCAGCAGGAAUUUAUCUAUGAAAAUGAUGAAAAGGGCAACAAUAAACAGUAUGUCAUUUCCAGUUUCAAA
ensembl:lncRNA